AUUGAACGCUGGCGGCAGGCCUAACACAUGCAAGUCGAACGGUAGCACAGAGAGCUUGCUCUCGGGUGACGAGUGGCGGACGGGUGAGUAAUGUCUGGGAAACUGCCUGAUGGAGGGGGAUAACUACUGGAAACGGUAGCUAAUACCGCAUAACGUCGCAAGACCAAAGAGGGGGACCUUCGGGCCUCUUGCCAUCAGAUGUGCCCAGAUGGGAUUAGCUAGUAGGUGGGGUAACGGCUCACCUAGGCGACGAUCCCUAGCUGGUCUGAGAGGAUGACCAGCCACACUGGAACUGAGACACGGUCCAGACUCCUACGGGAGGCAGCAGUGGGGAAUAUUGCACAAUGGGCGCAAGCCUGAUGCAGCCAUGCCGCGUGUAUGAAGAAGGCCUUCGGGUUGUAAAGUACUUUCAGCGGGGAGGAAGGUGUUGUGGUUAAUAACCACAGCAAUUGACGUUACCCGCAGAAGAAGCACCGGCUAACUCCGUGCCAGCAGCCGCGGUAAUACGGAGGGUGCAAGCGUUAAUCGGAAUUACUGGGCGUAAAGCGCACGCAGGCGGUCUGUCAAGUCGGAUGUGAAAUCCCCGGGCUCAACCUGGGAACUGCAUUCGAAACUGGCAGGCUGGAGUCUUGUAGAGGGGGGUAGAAUUCCAGGUGUAGCGGUGAAAUGCGUAGAGAUCUGGAGGAAUACCGGUGGCGAAGGCGGCCCCCUGGACAAAGACUGACGCUCAGGUGCGAAAGCGUGGGGAGCAAACAGGAUUAGAUACCCUGGUAGUCCACGCCGUAAACGAUGUCGAUUUGGAGGUUGUGCCCUUGAGGCGUGGCUUCCGGAGCUAACGCGUUAAAUCGACCGCCUGGGGAGUACGGCCGCAAGGUUAGAGCUCAAAUGAAUUGACGGGGGCCCGCACAAGCGGUGGAGCAUGUGGUUUAAUUCGAUGCAACGCGAAGAACCUUACCUGGUCUUGACAUCCACAGAACUUUCCAGAGAUGGAUUGGUGCCUUCGGGAACUGUGAGACAGGUGCUGCAUGGCUGUCGUCAGCUCGUGUUGUGAAAUGUUGGGUUAAGUCCCGCAACGAGCGCAACCCUUAUCCUUUGUUGCCAGCGGUCCGGCCGGGAACUCAAAGGAGACUGCCAGUGAUAAACUGGAGGAAGGUGGGGAUGACGUCAAGUCAUCAUGGCCCUUACGACCAGGGCUACACACGUGCUACAAUGGCGCAUACAAAGAGAAGCGACCUCGCGAGAGCAAGCGGACCUCAUAAAGUGCGUCGUAGUCCGGAUUGGAGUCUGCAACUCGACUCCAUGAAGUCGGAAUCGCUAGUAAUCGUAGAUCAGAAUGCUACGGUGAAUACGUUCCCGGGCCUUGUACACACCGCCCGUCACACCAUGGGAGUGGGUUGCAAAAGAAGUAGGUAGCUUAACCUUCGGGAGGGCGCUUACCACUUUGUGAUUCAUGACUGGGGUG
rnacentral:rRNA from 1 species